UACGUAGGGUGCGAGCGUUGUCCGGAAUUAUUGGGCGUAAAGAGCUUGUAGGCGGUUUGUCGCGUCUGCUGUGAAAAUCCGGGGCUCAACCCCGGACUUGCAGUGGGUACGGGCAGACUAGAGUGCAGUAGGGGAGACUGGAAUUCCUGGUGUAGCGGUGAAAUGCGCAGAUAUCAGGAGGAACACCGGUGGCGAAGGCGGGUCUCUGGGCCGGUACCGACGCUGAGGAGCGAAAGCGUGGGGAGCGAACAGG
rnacentral:rRNA from 1 species